rnacentral:rRNA from 1 species
GAGUUUGAUCCUGGCUCAGGAUGAACGCUGGCGGAAUGCCUAAUACAUGCAAGUCGAGCGGCAGCGCGAGUAGUUUACUACUUGGCGGCGAGCGGCGGACGGCUGAGUAACGCGUGGGAACGUACCCCAAAGUGAGGAGUAACUGCCCGAAAGGGUAGCUAAUGCCGCAUAUGAUCUUCGGAUUAAAGGAUUUAUCCGCUUUGGGAGCGGCCCGCGUACGAUUAGAUAGUUGGUGAGGUAAAGGCUCACCAAGUCAACGAUCGUUAACUGAUCUGAGAGGAUGAUCAGUCAGACUGGAACUGAGACACGGUCCAGACUCCUACGGGAGGCAGCAGUAAGGAAUCUUCCACAAUGGACGAAAGUCUGAUGGAGCAAUUCCGCGUGCAGGAUGAAGGCCUUAGGGUUGUAAACUGCUUUUAUUUGUGAAGAAUAUGACGGUAACAAAUGAAUAAGGGUCGGCUAACUACGUGCCAGCAGCCGCGGUCAUACGUAGGACCCAAGCGUUAUCCGGAGUGACUGGGCGUAAAGAGUUGCGUAGGUGGUCAGUAAAGUGAAUAGUGAAAUCUGGGGGCUCAACCUCCAGGCUAUUAUUCAAACUCACUGACUCGAGAAUGAUAGAGGUAACUGGAAUUUCUUGUGUAGGAGUGAAAAUCCGUAGAUAUAAGAAGGAACACCAAUGCCGUA